AAAAAUGGACUUGAUUCAUUAAGUCAUAGAGGUUUUUCACCAAGAACUUUCAUUACAUUCAUACAUAGCACAUUACAAGUGUCCAUACACAAGAGAUUACAAAACAAAUUGACUUUUCCACCUAAGUUGACUUUUUGUCAAUUGUUGACUUUUUGGUCAGCUAGUUGACCAAAGUCAACUAGCCAACUUUGACCAUCCUAAACCCUAAUCCCUAUUUCACUUUUCCACCAAGUCAUCUUUUUGAAUCUUCAAAGUUCCACAUCCUUUUGAUUUUGUCUUCCCAUUGUUUCUUCAAGUGCAAGUCAUCUUUGCCUUGAUUUCAUCAUUCGACUUUUGCAUACCCU
rnacentral:lncRNA from 1 species